rnacentral:rRNA from 1 species
CCUACGGGAGGCGGCAGUGAGGAAUAUUGGUCAAUGGACGAGAGUCUGAACCAGCCAAGUAGCGUGAAGGAUGACUGCCCUAUGAGUUGUAAACUUCUUUUAUAAAGGAAUAAAACGAGGCACGUGUGCCUUUUUGCAUGUACUGUAUGAAUAAGGAUCGGCUAACUCCGUGCCAGCAGCCGCGGUAAUACGGAGGAUCCGAGCGUUAUCCGGAUUUAUUGGGUUUAAAGGGAGCGUAGACGGGUUGUUAAGUCAGUUGUGAAAGUUUGCGGCUCAACCGUAAAAUUGCAAGUGAUACUGGUAGUCUUGAGUACAGUUGAGGUAGGCGGAAUUCGUGGUGUAGCGGUGAAAUGCUUAGAGAUCACGAAGAACCCCGAUUGCGAAGGCAGCUUACUAAGCUGUGACUGACAUUGAUGCUCGAAAGUGUGGGUAUCAAACAGGAUUAGAUACCCUAGUAGUC